rnacentral:rRNA from 1 species
CCUACGGGAGACUGCAGUGGGGAAUAUUGGGCAAUGGGCGCAAGCCUGACCCAGCAACGCCGCGUGAAGGAAGAAGGCUUUCGGGUUGUAAACUUCUUUUCUCAGGGACGAAGAAAGUGACGGUACCUGAGGUAUAAGCCACGGCUAACUACGUGCCAGCAGUCGCGGUAAUACGGAGGUGGCAAGCGUUAUCCGGAUUUAUUGGGUGUAAAGGGCGUGUAGGCGGGAGCGAAAGUCAGAUGUGAAAACUCAGGGCUCAACCCUGAGCCUGCAUUUGAAACUGUGUUUCUUGAGUGCAGGAGAGGCAAGCGGAAUGCAGGGUGUAGCGGUGAAAUGCGUAGAUAUACGGAGGAACACCAGUGGCGAAGGCGGAUUGCUGGACAGUAACUGACGCUGAGGCGCGAAAGCGUGGGGAGCAAACAGGAUUAGAUACCCCGGUAGUC